rnacentral:rRNA from 1 species
UACGAAGGGGGCUAGCGUUGCUCGGAAUUACUGGGCGUAAAGCGCACGUAGGCGGACUGUUAAGUCGGUGGUGAAAUCCUGGAGCUCAACUCCAGAACUGCCUUCGAUACUGAGAGUCUCGAGUCCGGGAGAGGUGAGUGGAACUGCGAGUGUAGAGGUGAAAUUCGUAGAUAUUCGCAAGAACACCAGUGGCGAAGGCGGCUCACUGGCCCGGUACUGACGCUGAGGUGCGAAAGCGUGGGGAGCAAACAGG